GAACCGGUCGAACGUUUAUUCGGAUUCACUGGGCUUAAAGAGUGCGUAGGCGGCUUUUCAGGUGAGGUGUGAAAUCCCCCGGCCCAACCGGGGAACUGCGCUUCAAACCGUUAGGCUUGAGGGAGACAGAGGUGAGCGGAACUGAUGGUGGAGCGGUGAAAUGCGUUGAUAUCAUCAGGAACACCUGUGGCGAAAGCGGCUCACUGGGUCUCUUCUGACGCUGAGGCACGAAAGCUAGGGUAGCGAACAGGGAUUAGAUACCCUGGUAGUCCUAGCUGUAAACGAUGAGCACUUGUUCGAGGGGACCUCCACAUCCCUCUUGGACGUAGCGAAAGUGUUAAGUGCUCCGCCUGGGGAGUAUGGUCGCAAGGCUG
rnacentral:rRNA from 1 species